UGGGGUUUUUCUCUUUUUUUACUUUUCUUCCCCCCCCCCCCCCCCCUUUUUUUUUUCUGGUUCGUUUGUUUCGUAGUCGUGACCAGGCCAUGUUUGUUCGAGUAUGCGUGCGUUUGGUUCGGAUGCUUCAGCUGUCAAAAGCUGGAGAUUUGACUGAAUCUCAGAAAAUGAGUUCACCCUUGAAGGGGAACGUGUGAUUAUGCGUUUCUUAGAUCAAAGAUCAGAUUUUUUUUUUUUUCUGUUGGGUGGGGUGGGGUGUCUUUGGGGUUCCUGCUGGUUUGAUUAUGUUGCACUUGGGGAACUGUCACUGCGCUGCUUAAUUAGUGAUGUGGAGUGAUAAAAGAGGGGGGAAGUGACUCUUGCCUCGGUUCUGAGCUUCUGAAUUAGUCUUCCGUCGAGGGAUGUCUUCGUAUCUGGUCGAUUGAGAGCGAGCCCUGAAAAUGUAGGAUGAUGGUCAUCAAAUGCAGCACUUGGGUAUGUCAAAAUACGGAAAAAGAGUUGAUUCUUGAAUGGUAUCUGUUCAUUAUGCAUAUUGAGUUCUUAGUGUUGCAAAUUGCAAUGUGAGCCCAACAGACUUACAAUAGGAGGAAGAGUAGAACACAUUGCUGAGUACUCAGUUUACACAUUCAAAGCCAGACGUUAGGUUAUCAGUCUAUGCAAUCAUUGUUUUCUGGCUGCGGGAACCAUUUCUUGGUUUCUCACCCUCAUCAUCUUUUGGCUUUAUUGGAACAUUGAAUGAUAAGACCAUUUUCUAAUAUGAUAGUUUCACAAGCAGCAGUCUGCACUUUUGUUUAUGUUUCGGGACAAUAUAAUUGGAAAUAUCAUUUUUUCUUAUCAAAUUUAAUUAUACUCCACUUUUAAAUUGGUAGAAGUUCGCAACUGUAAUGCUAGCCACUGAGCACUCGAGGUUUCUCCGUCUGCCGCUGCCAACAGCUAUAUGCUGAUUGAGAUUUUAGAAAGUUAGGUAGCUGUUUAGCUCUGAUCCUGGUUUUAUGAAUUACAAGUUACUGCCUUCACAAUCAAAUGGAAGUGAGGCUGGACUAAUCUAUAAUAUCCGGUUGCUUGGCCAAACGGACUGACAUUGUUCUUUGUCAAGUACUUUUCAAGAGAUCGCAGCUUUCACUACUCAUGUUUAGCUCCCGUUCUAGCGAUCUAAAGCUCUUCAGUACAGGAUAUUAUCCGUGUCCCAGCAUCAUAUUGGAUGCUCAUUGAUUUCUAGGGGGAAAAACCAAUUAGCUUUUAUCUAUGACUGUUUCUAUUUGUUAUGCACUAACCAAUCUAUUUGGUCACGUCACCGGUACAAAAGGAAAUAGAUAACCAUCUGAGUAUGUCCUGGGAAGAGUUACAUAGUCUGAAUAUCUUGUUUGGUUUAAAUGGAAAGGGUGAGAGAAGAACCUAUUGUGGUUCAGUCUUAUUAUAUUCAUGAGUCAUGACCGCAUAUCAAUAAGCUUAUAUUUUUUUGCCUUUUCUACUUGUAUGCUAACUAUUCAUUAGAUGUCUGCCGGUUCCUUCUUAUUAUUCUGUCCACAGGACAUUAUGCCAAACUCAUUUGUUGUUCUUGGAUUCCUUCUGGUACAUGUGCCAUCUCAAGCGUUUAUGGUCUCAUGCUCCCAUCAUGAUCUCGUUGUCAUCAACAUUCAGUUUCAGCUAAUUUAGAUGACACAUUGAUGUGAGAAGUCUGAUGUUAGUAUUAAUUCCAGCUCUAUAAAGUGGAUGCUUCUCGUACAAAAACUGUGUACAACAUUGAUCUAUAAAGUGGAUGCUUCUCGUAGAUUUAGAGAUUGAUAAAGUGAAGAAGUUCUCGCUGGCCGAAGAGUCACAAGAUUCAGGCACUAGUCAAAAGAGAGCUUGACGCAAUUUUCCAGGGAGGCGGCCACCUCAAGGGCAUGCUUUCCAGUUCUUUUGCUAGAGGAGAAACAAACGCGAUGAUCAGUAUCAACUGACUUUGCGGAACAUUUGGAAAAACAUAGUUCAUUGAAUGUUAUUCCUUGUUACGGAUCUUGCCAAGGAAUUACACACUGACGGCUCAAUUCUGAUUGUUAUUUCAUCUGAUGCAAUUGUGCCAUUGAAUGUUGUUCCAUUUCUUUUGCUGGAGGAGAAACAAACGUGAUGAUCAGCAUCGACUCACUUUGUGGAACAUUUGGAAAAACAUAGUUCAUUGAAUGUUAUUCCUUGUUAC